rnacentral:tRNA from 1 species
ACCGCAAUAGUUCAGUUGUUAGAGCAUCUGCUCGACCAGCGGAGUGUCGCCGAUUCGAUUCCGGCUUGCGGCA